rnacentral:rRNA from 1 species
GACGAACGCUGGCGGCGUGCUUAACACAUGCAAGUCGAACGGAAAGGCCUCUUUCGGGGGGUACUCGAGUGGCGAACGGGUGAGUAACACGUGAGUAGCCUGCCCUUGACUUUGGGAUAACUUCAGGAAACUGGGGCUAAUACCGGAUAGGAGCUCCUGCUGCAUGGUGGGGGUUGGAAAGUUUCGGCGGUUGGGGAUGGACUCGCGGCUUAUCAGCUUGUUGGUGGGGUAGUGGCUUACCAAGGCUUUGACGGGUAGCCGGCCUGAGAGGGUGACCGGCCACAUUGGGACUGAGAUACGGCCCAGACUCCUACGGGAGGCAGCAGUGGGGAAUAUUGCACAAUGGGUGGAAGCCUGAUGCAGCAACGCCGUGUGCGGGAUGACGGCCUUCGGGUUGUAAACCGCUUUCGCUCAUGACGAAGCUUUGUGUGACGGUAGUGGGUAAAGAAGCACCGGCUAACUACGUG